CAAAACAGGACCGGACAACCUCAGGCCGUCCCUAACAUCCCUGCUGCGAGGCCGCGGGCUGUGGAAUCUCGCACGUCACCUGGCCCCAGCAGGGCAGCCAGCUGAAGUGUUCAUUUAAUUUAAUUUAAUUUUAUUUUAUUUUAAUUUUUUCAAGUUAAGGCUGACUCUCGGCUUCAGUGCUUUUGCCAGCCAACGUCUCCUCCACUGACAGGAACCAGCAAACUUCAAGACUCAAAUAGGCGUCUUAAUUUAUGGACGCAAAACAGGUCUGCUUGUGGCCCCAAAUGCUCCGCGCGCUCAGUCCCCUGCGCCCCCAGCUUCGGUCCCUCCAUUUGAUCUCUGGAAAGCUUCACAUGUGAGAUAAAUGCACUCAAAGACUCCUCACAAGUAGCUCUUUGGAGCUUCAGAUGUGAAAUGGAUCAUUCCUCAAUCUGUAAUAGACCCUUCUGUGAAGCUCUUCAAUCAAACCUGAGAAUUCAAGGCGUUUUGUAGCAUCCUAAACAGAAGGAUAUUGAAGGGAGCUGAUUCUGCUUUGAUCCUUGCGCUUGUUGUCAAAGCGCUUGGGAUUGAAGAGACUGUUGGCUACAAUUGACUGUGACAAUUAGGAGAUGAUCAGAGCCCUAGAGUGGAGCACUUAAAGGGUUUGCAUUUAAAACACUCUUGGAGCACUAAUGGAUUAAAAUUCUGAUAACUGCACAUUUUCUUUUUAGAGAGGUAAUGAGUGAAUGAAUGAAAAGGCAGGGAUUAUUUGCCAUUCUAAGCGGGAACUGUCAGAAGAUUUCUACUUGAAGGAAAUUGUUUUGGAAGGUGAGCUGGAACAAGACUCUUGCAACUCAAGCAAAGUGACUCUGCCUGUGGUUUUUCAAUGUUUCUCUUCAUCGAAGAAUUCUGAAGAACUGUUCUUGGACUUAGAAGUUGAUUUACAUUUUAUUUAUUGGAGAUUAUGUAGGUGAAUCAUAUGAAAACAUUUAAAACUAUGUGUAUUUGACUGUUAAUAAGUACAUCAGGGUCUUUUGCAAGCUCAGUUGAAAUGAUUUGAAAUGAGUUUUUCUGUUUAUCAUCACAGUGUUUUUACAAUGUAUAAAUUGCCAUAUUGUGACAAAAUAAAUUAUUGAAAUGCUUUGAAAAGUUUUUAGAAAUAUGCCUAAGAAAACAAUAUGUAAAUUCUUAGUUAAUUCACACGUUAAUUUAUUGAAAUAUUGCUGCUACUGAAAAGUUCUAGAGCCUUUAGCACAACAUUCCAGAACACUUACUGUCUUGUUUUAAUAAGCUGCUUUCUUUGUAUACCUGUCUGGUGGCAGCACAAAAGUUGCCAGAUUUAGCAAGUGAAAAUCAAGAAUUUCUAGUUAAAUUUGAGUUUCUGAUAAAUAGUGAAAACUUUUUUUAAUAUAAGUAUGUCCCAUGCAGUGCUUGCAUUUUGUCUUGGAAACCUAGGUGAUACUCUGAUAUUGCAAUGACACAUUGAAUGGAUGGGUUAGUAAUUUAUAAAUUAUAAAUUAUCAUUUAUAGAUCAGUUUCCAUUCACUAUCAUAUUAGGUAGGGCAGCCAGCAUGCAGCUUUCAGAUAGAAACCAAAGGCUUUUAACUUAUUAUUGCUGAGUUUAACUUUCCCCAUAAUGUUCCCGGGGCAAGCUGUGAGUUGUCAUUUCGAGUAUAAUAAUUCCUGUCUGACUAAUGCAAUUGAGACCUCGGAGAAGGUGGCUGAGGGGUUCUAGCCCAUCUACGUUGACCAGGCUCUGACAGAGGUGUUUGGAGGUUACAGAGAAAGAGAAGUGAGUGAUGCAAUGAGAAUAUAUUAGCUUUCUGAAGCCACAUCUUUCCUUUCAGGGCGGUGUUGUGACUACAUAGGUAAUAAGUUCAAAACCCUUAUAAUUCUGAUUUUGGUAGGGCCUUCUGGGAAAGGAAAGAUUCUAUGUCCUUGCAUAUUUUAUUUUAUUUUAUUCUGUUUAUGAUAAUCUAGUUGACAUGAAAGAAGCUGAGCUAAAACUUACAGAAAAUCAGAUUUCUCUUUGAAGCGUGUCAGUUCAGGCUGCUGGAACAAAGUACUAUAAACUGUGCAGUUUAUAACCAACAGACAUUUCUCAUCAUUCUGGAGGCUGGAAGUCUGAGAUCAGAGCUCCAGUAUGGUCAGAUUCUGGUGAGGGCCCCCUUCCAGGUUUGCAGAUGGUGUCUUCUUCCUGUGUUCUCACACAGUGGAGAGCAGAGCACUCUGGUCCAUUUCGCUCCUUAUAAGGGCACUAAUCUCAUUCAUAAGGGCUCCACACUUGUGACCUAAUCACAUCCCAAAAGGUCACCUCCUAAUACCAUCAAAUUUGGUAUGACGACUCCAACAUAUGAGUUUUUGAGUGACAUAAACAUUCAGUCCAUGACAAUUUCUCACUGUCCUUAAUUUUUUCCUCAGCAUUUGUCAGAUGCUGUCAAUGAGGACUCUCUGUAGCACAACAAUUUGAAAACCCUGUUUCCCGUCCCCUAAGCCCCAUUUUAAUUUCAUCCACAGCUUCAAGGAGUGGACAGUCCCUGGGAAGCCCAGGACUCUGGAACACUUUUUGAGUCUUCUAAUUUCUGCCUUAGAGCCUUUUCCAGAACUGUAGAAGCCCGCUCAAUAUGCUUCCUGAAGCUUGUUGUAGAAAUGUGGGGGAGUUGACAUCCUCAGGGGCAGCCUGAUAGGAGACAGGAGCCUGUGGAUAAAUGUUCCAGCCACAUAUCUUUUAGACGGGCAUUUCUGAGAAGCACUUGGCAUGCUGCUCAGAGGGCCCAUCUUCAACAACAGGCAUCUUAUGUACCCUGAUGGCACAUUAUGUGGGUUGGCCCCAAUCCUGCCUGCCUCGUUGUUUCCAUCCUCUGCCACCUAUUUCUAGGGAUAACCAACAUGCAUUGAAUUCCUUGUUUCAGGCCCUGUGUUCAGGGACACCCCAGUGAGGAUGCUCCUGAUGGUCUUUUGCUCCCAGCACCACAGUUAUCUCCCCAUUCUAUGACUGGGCACUCUGCUUCCAUCAAGGUUUACUUUUCCUGUUGUCAGAAGAGAGUUCUGCCACCGUUCCUACCACCAAAACCGAGUCAUAUGGUUUACCGAGUACUUCAUGCAUGCUCACCUCACCUGAACUUGCUUUUACAAUGAAACCACUUUUGAUUGAAUCCCCAACUUGCAAAUUUCCAUGCAGUUAAGAGUUCAACUAUCUGACAGUUUCUAAAAUCCUCAUGAGGUUGUUAGUUUUGAACAAUAAAAAGGAUAAACAUAUGCAAUUUUUUUGUGCUUUGCUGCUUAUUGGUGGUUUCUUCUGGCAAUUAUAGUAAUGGGUAGCCCCUCGGGAGUGAAAGU